rfam:Gossypium raimondii Chr11_contig_1505, whole genome shotgun sequence.
UAUUAAAAUUUUCAUCCAUUUUUACUGUUAAAAAUUGGCAUGACCGACAGAAUAAUUGAAUAGUGUCAUGUGGUUGCCACGUGUAUCUUAUACUGAUGUAUAGGUACUAAUUUUUAACAGUAGAAGAAAUUUUUAACA